rnacentral:rRNA from 1 species
UACAUGGGGGUGCAAACGUUGCUCGGAAUUAUUGGGCGUAAAGCGCACGUAGGCGGUUUGUUAAGUCGGAUGUGAAAUCCCUCGGCUCAACUGAGGAAGUGCAUCCGAAAACUGGCAGGCUUGAGUACUAAAGAGGGUCGCGGAAUUCCCGGUGUAGAGGUGAAAUUCGUAGAUAUCGGGAGGAACACCGGUGGCGAAGGCGGCGACCUGGGUAGAUACUGACGCUGAGGUGCGAAAGCGUGGGGAGCAAACAGG